UGUCAUUCGGGCUCUUUGUCCAUGUUAACAUUUUCAGUGUUAUGCUUUGUGAGUUAAGCUACGAUGAC
rnacentral:tRNA from 1 species